rnacentral:rRNA from 1 species
UGGUGGCCAUGGCGGGGAGGCAACACCCGUUCCCAUUCCGAACACGGAAGUGAAGGGCCCCAGUGGCGAGGGUACUGCGGCAAUCGGCCGCGGGAGAGUAGCGCGC